rnacentral:lncRNA from 1 species
AUGAUUUUAACUGUAUAAUAAUAGUGUUAAAUUAACGUAAAUUCCAUAUUUUUCGAAUUGGUGCUUAGCGGGCUGAUAUGAAAAGUUUAUCACAUGGUUCGAUUGUUAUCACAUGCCUUUCCGUAACGUUAUCGCAUGGCAUUCCGGUGAUACUCGGCAUAUUCCGGAAAAUACACCUCAAUGCUACGUUUUCAGUGAAAAACAUUACAAAGUAGUGU